GAAAUGCGAUAAGUAAUGUGAAUUGCAGAAUUCAGUGAAUCAUCGAAUCUUUGAACGCACAUUGCGCCCGCCAGCACUCUGGCGGGCAUGCCUGUUCGAGCGUCAUUUCAACCCUCAGAACCCCUUGCGGGAUCUGGCGUUGGGGAUUGGCAUCCAGCCAGCCCCGAAAUCUAGUGGCGGUCCCUCCGCGACCUCCCCUGUGCAGUAGUGAUACCUCGCAGCGGGACAGCGGUCUGACCACGCCGUAAAACCCCCAACUUCUCAAGGUUGACCUCGAAUCAGGUAGGACUACCCGCUGAACUUAAGC
rnacentral:misc_RNA from 1 species